AACGCGAAGAACCUUACCUCGGGACCUCCCAUGAAUGGUGAGGUGCCUUUGGGAAGCCAGAACACGGGGCUGCGGGCGUUCCUAACCUCGUGUCGUGAGAUUUGGGUUAAGUCCCGCAACGAGCCCAACCCUUGCCUUUUUUCCCAUCAUUUAGUUGGGCACUCUUAAGAGACGCCCGUGACAAACGGAGGAAAGGGGGGAGGACGUCAAGUCCUCAUGGCCCUUAUGCCGGGCUUCACACGUCAUACAAUGGGCGGUACAAAGGGUUGCCAACCCGCGAGGGGGAGCCAAUCCCAUAAAGCCUUCGGAGUCCGGAUCGCAGUCUGCAACUCGACUCCCUGAAAUGGGAAUCUCUAGUAAUCUCAGAUCAACAUGCUCCCGGGAAUACUUUCCCCCGUCUUG
rnacentral:rRNA from 1 species